rnacentral:tRNA from 1 species
GCCUUCAUAGUGUAGUGGUCAGCACGCUCGACGCGUAACUGAGAGGUCCGUGGUUCGAUUCCCGGCGAAGGCG